UACCAGCACCCGAGUGGUCGGGACGUUUAUUGGCCUAAAGCAUCCGUAGCCGGUUCUACAAGUCUUCCGUUAAAUCCAACUGCUUAACAGGUGGCUGCGGAAGAUACUAUAGAGCUAGAGCGGAGAGCAAGCGUACUCGAUGGUAGGUAAUCCGUGAUCCAUGAGACACAGUGCGAGCGCUGCAGACGCGCUCGACGUGAGAUGAAGCGGGGG
rnacentral:rRNA from 1 species